UGAUCAUGGCUCAGAUUGAACGCUGGCGGCAUGCCUUACACAUGCAAGUCGAGCGGCAGCAUGAUCUAGCUUGCUAGAUUGAUGGCGAGUGGCGAACGGGUGAGUAAUACAUCGGAACGUGCCCUGUAGUGGGGGAUAACUAGUCGAAAGAUUAGCUAAUACCGCAUACGGCCUGAGGGUGAAAGUGGGGGACCGCAAGGCCUCAUGCUAUAGGAGCGGCCGAUGUCUGAUUAGCUAGUUGGUGAGGUAAAGGCUCACCAAGGCGACGAUCAGUAGCUGGUCUGAGAGGACGAUCAGCCACACUGGGACUGAGACACGGCCCAGACUCCUACGGGAGGCAGCAGUGGGGAAUUUUGGACAAUGGGGGCAACCCUGAUCCAGCAAUGCCGCGUGUGUGAAGAAGGCCUUCGGGUUGUAAAGCACUUUUGUCCGGAAAGAAAUCGCACUUACUAAUAUUAGGUGUGGAUGACGGUACCGGAAGAAUAAGGACCGGCUAACUACGUGCCAGCAGCCGCGGUAAUACGUAGGGUCCAAGCGUUAAUCGGAAUUACUGGGCGUAAAGCGUGCGCAGGCGGUUGUGCAAGACCGAUGUGAAAUCCCCGGGCUUAACCUGGGAAUUGCAUUGGUGACUGCACGGCUAGAGUGUGUCAGAGGGGGGUAGAAUUCCACGUGUAGCAGUGAAAUGCGUAGAGAUGUGGAGGAAUACCGAUGNNNANGCAGCCCCCUGGGAUAACACUGACGCUCAUGCACGAAAGCGUGGGAGCAAACAGGAUUAGAUACCCUGGUAGUCCACGCCCUAAACGAUGUCAACUAGUUGUUGGGGAUUCAUUUCCUUAGUAACGUAGCUAACGCGUGAAGUUGACCGCCUGGGGAGUACGGUCGCAAGAUUAAAACUCAAAGGAAUUGACGGGGACCCGCACAAGCGGUGGAUGAUGUGGAUUAAUUCGAUGCAACGCGAAAAACCUUACCUACCCUUGACAUGCCACUAACGAAGCAGAGAUGCAUUAGGUGCUCGAAAGAGAAAGUGGACACGGGUGCUGCAUGGCUGUCGUCAGCUCGUGUCGUGAGAUGUUGGGUUAAGUCCCGCAACGAGCGCAACCCUUGUCUCUAGUUGCUACGAAAGGGCACUCUAGAGAGACUGCCGGUGACAAACCGGAGGAAGGUGGGGAUGACGUCAAGUCCUCAUGGCCCUUAUGGGUAGGGCUUCACACGUCAUACAAUGGUGCAUACAGAGGGUUGCCAAGCCGCGAGGUGGAGCUAAUCCCAGAAAAUGCAUCGUAGUCCGGAUCGUAGUCUGCAACUCGACUACGUGAAGCUGGAAUCGCUAGUAAUCGCGGAUCAGCAUGCCGCGGUGAAUACGUUCCCGGGUCUCGUACACACCGCCCGUCACACCAUGGGAGUGGGUUUUGCCAGAAGUAGUUAGCCUAACCGCAAGGGGGGCGAUUACC
rnacentral:rRNA from 1 species